rnacentral:rRNA from 1 species
GACGAACGCUGGCGGCGUGCCUAAUACAUGCAAGUCGAACGCUUCUUUCCUCCCGAGUGCUUGCACUCAAUUGGAAAGAGGAGUGGCGGACGGGUGAGUAACACAUGGGUAACCUACCCAUCAGAGGGGGAUAACACUUGGAAACAGGUGCUAAUACCGCAUAACAGUUUAUGCCGCAUGGCAUAAGAGUGAAAGGCGCUUUCGGGUGUCGCUGAUGGAUGGACCCGCGGUGCAUUAGCUAGUUGGUGAGGUAACGGCUCACCAAGGCCACGAUGCAUAGCCGACCUGAGAGGGGGAUCGGCCACACUGGGACUGAGACACGGCCCAGACUCCUACGGGAGGCAGCAGUAGGGAAUCUUCGGCAAUGGACGAAAGUCUGACCGAGCAACGCCGCGUGAGUGAAGAAGGUUUUCGGAUCGUAAAACUCUGUUGUUAGAGAAGAACAAGGACGUUAGUAACUGAACGUCCCCUGACGGUAUCUAACCAGAAAGCCACGGCUAACUACGUG